rnacentral:tRNA from 1 species
AAGCCCCGGGCACCUUGCUGGGGUGUGUCUCCAAAUUUGCACUUUGG